rnacentral:tRNA from 1 species
UCCAGGGUAGCCUAGUGGAAAUGGCAUCUGCCCGGUAAGAGGAACAGUGUGGGUUCGAUUCCAAUCCCACACUUUAAU